UUUCCGUAGGUGAACCUGCGGAAGGAUCAUUGUCAAAACCUUGCAGCAUAGUGACUUGAGAACUUGUACAAGCACAAAACUCCAGUGUUGGGGCCAUCUCUAGGGUUUGACCUCGAUGAACAAACACACCGGCGCAGUAGCGCCAAGGAAUUUCAUCACGAGAUUGCUUGCUUGCGCAGCCUGUUUCUAGUGCUUGUGUGGGUGGCGUCUUUUUAUUAAAAAAGACUCUCGGCAAUGGAUAUCUCGGCUCUUGCAUCGAUGAAGAACGUAGCGAAAUGCGAUACGUGGUGUGAAUUGCAGAAUCCCGUGAACCAUCGAAUCUUUGAACGCAAGUUGCGCCUGAAGCCAUUAGGUUGAGGGCACGUUUGCUUGGGUGUCAUGCAUUGUGUCGUCCCUCUCUUGUUUUGUAGUGGGAGUGGAUCGUGGCCUCCUGGGCCCAUCCUUGGGUGUGGUUGGCCGAAAACGUUGUCCCUGAAGGUGUUCAAUGUCUUGGCGUGCGGUGGAUGUGCCGAGUGUGCAUAAUGGCGCGCCUUGCUUCGCCUUGCUGUGGUGGUUGGGUCCCUAUGAAGCCGACAGAGUAGGCUCUUUGAUUGCGACCCCAAGUCAG
rnacentral:rRNA from 1 species